GACGUGGGGGGCCAGCGUUGCUCGGAAUUACUGGGUGUAAAGGGUUCGUAGGCGGUGUAGCAAGUCGGGAGUGAAAUCUCUGGGCUCAACCCAGAGACUGCUUCCGAAACUGCUGUGCUUGAGUGUGGGAGAGGCGCGUGGAAUUGCAGGUGUAGCGGUGAAAUGCGCAGAUAUCAGGAGGAACACCGGUGGCGAAGGCGGAUCUCUGGGCCGAUACUGACGCUGAGGAGCGAAAGCGUGGGGAGCGAACAG
rnacentral:rRNA from 1 species